rnacentral:lncRNA from 1 species
AAGGGUGCUCAGCAGCCUCCAGUGACAGCCUUUAAAAAAAAAACUUUGUGGGAGUCCUAGCGGAGAAAGUGAGGUCAGAGACACAGUCAAAUUCUGCCCAGUGUAGCCCCUGGAUCUUGCUGGAAAGCUGGGAUUUGACAUCAGACGUCACUCAUCACAGGGUGUCCUUGCUUUCUCCAAUGUGAAAAUUGGGUACAGCUGAAGAAGAGGGGAUUCGAGUGAUUUACCCAUGCGGCGAUCUCAUGUUUGAAGAGUUCUCUCUGUGUUUCGAUGGGGCUGAAGCCGUAAAGCAAAUUCUGUCCUUUGGUUGUACCGAUGCAAACCCCAAAGGCAGAAGCUGUUCUAUUCUUUUGCACUGUGGGCACAGUGCAAGCAGUGGGCCCCUGACUGCAAAUUAAGCUGGGGCUCUGUGGUGCCUUCCCCAUAGGAUGGAAGGGCCUUGGUGCCCUGCCACUCAAACUACAGAAACUCACAAUUUCUCAGAAUACUGUUCUGCUGCUAUUCCUAUCACUGAUGUUGGAAAAAAAAACAUCUCUGGUCCAUUUCUGUCACCAGGGAGAGAGGAGGAGACUCUCGUAUUGGGAAUCUCUUGUCCCACUGAGUCUGCCUCUCUGCAGACUCUAACCUUCAUAUCCAGCCUCUGGAACCCUAAGUAAAUGGCCUCAUGAAUGUGCUGUCAUUUGCCAAAUCAUGGUCUUGUUAACAGUAAUGUAGCAAGAGCUCUGCUUGGGUCCAGGCCCUCCUGUGGGACGGCAGGUUCUUUUUCUCAUGGGGCCACUUUCUUCAUUAAGAGAAUAUGUUGAGGGAUGGAGAGGUGGUUCAGCAGUAAAGAGUGCCUACUGUGCGGCUUCCAGCAGCAGGCAGCGCAUAACCUCUUGUUAUGUGCUCUUGUUAACUUCAGCUCCGGGAGAUGCAGCGCCCUCCUGUGGCCUCUUCAGGCACCUGCAUUCAUGUGCACAUACCUACACAUUCUUUCUCUCUCUCUCUCUCUCUCUCUCUCUCUCUCUCACACACACACACACACACACACACACACACACACACACUUAAAAACAAUGAAAUCAUUUUUUUAAAAAGAAGAAAAGAUUUUGAGUUAACAUGGACUAUCAAUGUCUUUUCAAGGAUACAACUGUCAUGGUCCCCACUGUGUCCACAGGGGUCACAUGCAGAGCUCUCAGGAUGUAAAUACUAGGGUGAGCCCUGGAAUACCAGACCAUCCUUGGCACUGUUUGGCUCAGGGCCAACACUAAAAUGCUUAAGACAAAACCUCUUCUCUUCAAUGUUUAAUAACAGAAACCAACAUGAAAGAAAACAGCUAGAAUAUAGUCCAAGCAAGCAUAGGACACAAGUACAUGGAACGCUCUGAGGUGGCAGCUGGGGAGAGCCUGGUCCAUAGAAUUCCGUACUUCCAUCUCUUCUUCGUGAAGGAAUUGUAGCAAAAGACUGCUGCCCAGAACUGCCUCCAAUUGUCAGCUCACACACACCAGGCCUGAGCCAAGGAAGCCGAGUGCUAAGCAGCUUGUCUCCCGGUUCACGCAUGCGCUUACUUGUUAUUCUGUUUGCAGAGGAAGGCGCCAAGAAUACGCAUACACACUCCCCCUCGUGCAGAGACUACACAUUUGGAUGCGAUAAAUUUCUCUCUCUGACC